UGGAACUCACAAACGCACCCUCCAGGGGGCGGACGGGCGGGGCCCCGUGUUGCAAACCCCUUCACACGUUCAGACUCGAUGAACAGACAUUACCCAGGAAUCAUAACAACAUUGCAAACAAUUGUGCGCGAAACAUUCAUCGUUGAUCAUGCGGACCUGAGGGCAACACGUCUCAUCGAGUUGUGACCGAGCAAGUGGAAAGGAAAACGGAACCGGAACACGGAGCACAUGCGCACAUCG
rnacentral:lncRNA from 1 species